GCUUUGUCGUUAGUGUAGAUAUUUAAAUUUUAAUGUUUUUUGUUUAGUGAGAAUCCAAUCUGCUGACCUUGAAAAUACCGGCUUCUGAUUUAUCAAGAAAACGUUUGAUAUUUUAGAAAUUUAUAAUCUGCAAUUUUUUUUUUGGUAUAAUCAUCUGGUUGAUACUGAUCACAGCUGGUUGUCCAUAUGUGUUGUCCCGAGGUUAUCAUUCAUAACUUAAUAUUUGAAAAAAUUAUAUCAGAUGUGCGUACUAAUGUAUUAAUUCAAUGAAUAUUCCAAAUUUAUAAUUUGUUCAGCCAGACGCGCAUUUUGGUUGAAUAAGUCUCAUACGUUCCGCUCGAAUGAACACGAGUGAAAUGCCAAAAAAAAGUGAAGAGCACUAAAACCCGAAAAUUCGAAAAAUGUGUGCCAGCUACAAACACAGCAAUCUAUAAUCG
rnacentral:lncRNA from 1 species